rnacentral:rRNA from 1 species
UACGGAGGAUGCAAGCGUUAUCCGGAAUUAUUGGGCGUAAAGCGUUCGCAGGUGGCGGUGCAUGUCUAUUGUCAAAGGCUGGGGCUUAACCAGAGACAGGCAGUAGAAACUGCAAGACUAGAGUGCAGUCUGGGCAGAGGGAAUUCCCAGUGUAGCGGUGAAAUGCGUAGAGAUUGGGAAGAACACCGGUGGCGAAAGCGCUCUGCUAGGCUGUGACUGACACUGAGGGACGAAAGCUAGGGGAGCGAAUGGG